rnacentral:rRNA from 1 species
UGGGGAAUUUUGGACAAUGGGGGCAACCCUGAUCCAGCCAUGCCGCGUGAGGGAAGAAGGCCUUCGGGUUGUAAACCUCUUUCGGGCGGGACGAAAAGGGAUGCGUGAAUAACGUAUCUUCAUGACGGUACCGCAAGAAGAAGCACCGGCUAACUACGUGCCAGCAGCCGCGGUAAUACGUAGGGUGCGAGCGUUAAUCGGAAUUACUGGGCGUAAAGCGUGCGCAGGCGGCUUGUCAAGCCAGACGUGAAAGCCCCGGGCUCAACCUGGGAAUGGCGUUUGGGACUGACAGACUGGAGUGCGGCAGAGGGAACUGGAAUUCCUGGUGUAGCAGUGAAAUGCGUAGAUAUCAGGAGGAACACCAAUGGCGAAGGCAGGUUCCUGGGCCAGCACUGACGCUCAUGCACGAAAGCGUGGGGAGCAAACAGGAUUAGAUACCCAAGUAGUCCCUGAGCGGGCUGGCAAGGCGCAU